GGAGUUGUAGCUCAGUGGUUGAGUGCUUGCCUAGCAUGUAGGAGGUACUGGGUUCAAUCCCAGCACCA
rnacentral:tRNA from 1 species